ACAGCAAAAUCACAAAUUGGAGUCCUCCCCUUAGCCACAGAAAGGGUACAGCUGAGACAGCAUCUGUACAAACAGCCUGCCCACAGUCUCUGCCAGCGUGCCUCAGCUCUGACCUUGAGGAGCUGCCGCGAAGUGCAAGAGGGAAACUCCCCUUUCCUCCUUCCUCUCCCCUUCCUAUGCA
ensembl:misc_RNA